UACCUGGUUGAUCCUGCCAGUAGUCAUAUGCUUGUCUCAAAGAUUAAGCCAUGCAAGUCUAAGUACGAGCUCUCGUACAGUGAAACUGCGAAUGGCUCAUUAAAUCAGUUAUGGUUCAUUUGAUCGUACAGUUUACUUGGAUAACUGUGGUAAUUCUAGAGCUAAUACAUGCGAGAAGCGCCGACCUCGCGGGAGGCGUGCAUUUAUCAGACCAAAAACCGGCCGCGUCUUCGGGCGCGUUCGCCUUGGUGACUCUGGAUAACUUUGCGGAUCGCACGGUCUAGCACCGGCGACGGAUCAUUCAAGUGUCUGCCCUAUCAACUUUCGUCGGUACGGUAUUUGCCUACCGAGGUUCUUACGGGUGACGGGGAAUCAGGGUUCGAUUCCGGAGAGGGAGCCUGAGAAACGGCUACCACAUCCAAGGAAGGCAGCAGGCGCGCAAAUUACCCAUUCCCGACGCGGGGAGGUAGUGACGAAAAAUAAC
rnacentral:ncRNA from 1 species